GGCCAGGUAGCUCAGUCGGUAGAGCAGGGGACUGAAAAUCCCUGUGUCGGCGGUUCGAUUCCGUCCCUGGCCACCA
rnacentral:tRNA from 5 species